CAUAGACUGGUGAGCUUCACUCCCAGAGAACUUUGCUGUGGGGCCCAAAAUUUUGUAUUUUUAGCAAGUUCCCAGGUGAUGCU
rnacentral:miRNA from 1 species